GGCCCCUGCCCUCUAGAAGCUCACAGUCUAGUUGUGUUCGCGUGCACGUCAUUCACCCCCAGCUAGAUUGUAAGCUCCUUGAGGGCAGUUACC
rnacentral:pre_miRNA from 14 species